GUCGAGCGCGCCUUCGGGUGAGCGGCGGACGGGUGAGUAACGCGUGAGAAUCUGCCUUCAGGUUGGGGACAACCACUGGAAACGGUGGCUAAUACCGAAUAAGCCAAACGGUGAAAGAUUUAUUGCCUGAAGAUGAGCUCGCGUCUGAUUAGCUAGUUGGUGGGGUAAUGGCCUACCAAGGCGUCGAUCAGUAACUGGUCUGAGAGGAUGAUCAGUCACACUGGGACUGAGACACGGCCCAGACUCCUACGGGAGGCAGCAGUGGGGAAUUUUCCGCAAUGGGCGAAAGCCUGACGGAGCAAUACCGCGUGAGGGAGGAAGGCUCUUGGGUCGUAAACCUCUUUUCUCAGGGAAGAACAAAAUGACGGUACCUGAGGAAUCAGCAUCGGCUAACUCCGUGCCAGCAGCCGCGGUAAU
rnacentral:rRNA from 1 species